AACGUAGGAGACAAACGUUAUCCGGAGUUACUGGGCGUAAAGGGCGUGUAGGUGGUCGUGUAAGUCUGGCGUGAAAUUUUUCGGCUUAACCGGGAAAGGUCGUCGGAUACUGCACAACUAGAGGACGGUAGAGGCGUGUGGAAUUCCGGGUGUAGUGGUGAAAUGCGUAGAGAUCCGGAGGAACACCAGUGGCGAAGGCGACACGCUGGGCCGUACCUGACACUGAGGCGCGAUAGCAUGGGGAGCAAACAGG
rnacentral:rRNA from 1 species